rnacentral:rRNA from 1 species
CAGCCGCCGCGGUAAUACAGAGGGUGCAAGCGUUAAUCGGAAUUACUGGGCGUAAAGCGUGCGUAGGCGGCUUCUUAAGUCGGAUGUGAAAUCCCUGAGCUUAACUUAGGAAUUGCAUUCGAUACUGGGAAGCUAGAGUAUGGGAGAGGAUGGUAGAAUUCCAGGUGUAGCGGUGAAAUGCGUAGAGAUCUGGAGGAAUACCGAUGGCGAAGGCAGCCAUCUGGCCUAAUACUGACGCUGAGGUACGAAAGCAUGGGGAGCAAACAGGAUUAGAUACCCGAGUAGUCCCUGUCUCUUAUAC